GUAACGAGCGCAACCCUGUCCUUAGUUACCAGCACGUUAUGGUGGGCACUCUAAGGAGGACUGCCGGGUGACAAACCGGAGGAAGGUGGGGAUGACGUCAAGUCAUCAUGGCCCUUACGGCCUGGGCUACACACGUGCUACAAUGGUCGGUACAAAGGGGUUGCCAAGCCGCGAGGUGGAGCUAAUCCCAUAAAACCGAUCGUAGUCCGGAUCGCAGUCUGCAACUCGACUGCGUGAAGUCGGAAUCGCUAGUAAUCGUGAAUCAGAAUGUCACGGUGAAUACGUUCCCGGGCCUU
rnacentral:rRNA from 1 species